rnacentral:rRNA from 1 species
UACAGAGGGUGCGAGCGUUGUCCGGAAUCACUGGGCGUAAAGGGCGCGUAGGUGGCGACCCAAGUCAAUGGUGAAAGCUCGAUGCUCAACAUCGAGUCGGCCACUGAUACUGGGUUGCUCGAGCACUGUAGAGGGGUGUGGAAUUCCUGGUGUAGCGGUGAAAUGCGCAGAUAUCAGGAGGAACACCGGUGGCGAAGGCGGGUCUCUGGGCCGAUACUGACGCUGAGGAGCGAAAGCGUGGGGAGCGAACAGG